rnacentral:rRNA from 5 species
GGAAGUAAAAGUCGUAACAAGGUCUCCGUUGGUGAACCAGCGGAGGGAUCAUUACUG